GUUAGGAAUAUUGGACAAUGGGCGCAAGCCUGAUCCAGCCAUGCCGCGUGAACGAUGAAGGCCUUCGGGUUGUAAAGUUCUUUAGCCGAUGAUUAUAAUGACUGUAGUCGGAAAAUAAGCCCCGGCUAACUUCGUGCCAGCAGCCGCGGUAAUACGAAGGGGGCGAGCGUUAUUCGGAAUCACUGGGCGUAAAGCGUGCGUAGGCGGUCUCGUAAGUUAGGAGUGAAAGCCCAGGGCUCAACCUUGGAAUUGCUCUUAAAACUGCAAGGCUAGAAUCUCGGAGAGGAUAGCGGAAUUGUCAGUGUAGCAGUGAAAUGCGUAGAUAUUGACAGGAACACCAGUGGCGCAAGCGGCUAUCUGGACCGAUAUUGACGCUGAGGCACGAAAGCGUGGGGAGCAAACAGGAUUAGAUACCCUUGUAGUCC
rnacentral:rRNA from 1 species